rnacentral:misc_RNA from 1 species
AACGCACAUUGCGCCCUUUGGCAUUCCGAGGGGCAUGCCCGUUCGAGCGUCAUUAAAUCCACUCAAGCCUGGCUUGGUCUUGGGCGCCGGGGACCUCCCCGCGCCUCCAUUUCGCCGGCUGGCCGUCGUUCGACGUAGCGUUGUGACACAUGUCGCUAACGACGAAGACGGACCGCGCCGUGAGAACCCUCUUGGGUGUUGUUAACACUCAGUAAAGGUUGACCUCGGAUCGGGUAGGAAUACCCGCUGAACUUAA